rnacentral:sRNA from 1 species
GCCCAGGUUACGACUGAUUUUCUGCCAGCCUGCAGAUCCUGCGCCUGUCGCCCUAGGUCUCUGUACCCUGCAGACCACCUUGCUCUGGUUCCUGGGCAGAGCUCAGCAGUACUUGGCAGCAUGGGACCCAGCUUCCUUCCUGCUCCUGAUCCAAAAGGACUUACCUGUGAGUGGCUGGGGAGUAGGGAGGGGAGCAGCCUGAGCUAGGCUGAGCCCUCACUCCCUGUUUCCACCCAAAGCCUCUGUUGCAUGAGGCAGAAGCUUUGUCUAGCCUGGCCUCAGAGGAAAGCUUAUCUCUGGAAGUGGAGCAGCAACUGGGCCUGGAGAUCCAGAAGCUGACUGCACAGAUCCAGCUCCUGCCUGAAGAGUCACUAAGUGUCUUUUCUCAAGAAUGUCAUAAACAAGCCAUGCAAGGUUUCAAGCUCUACAUGCCACGGGGUCGGUACUGGCGGCUUCGUCUCUGUCCUGGUAACUCCUCAUCCCAGCUUCUCCUUCCAGAGUUCCAAGGGGGUAAUAGUGUCUCAGCCCUUCCAAAUUCCGGUUCCCCUCCACUGUCUCCAUCCUUGUCCUCAGCUUCUGUGCCCUUCCCUCCUGAAAUCCUACCCUCUUCUCCCAAGGCUCCAUUUAGGGGUUCAAUGGAUCUUCACAGCCUUAUAUUCUGUCUUCUCUAUUCCAGAACUUCCCAGUGCUCCUAGUGAGUAUGCAGGUUUAGUGGUCCGCACCGUACUGGAGCCUGUGUUGCA